rnacentral:rRNA from 1 species
CCUACGGGAGGCUGCAGUGGGGAAUAUUGGACAAUGGGCGAAAGCCUGAUCCAGCCAUGCCGCGUGUGUGAAGAAGGCCUUCGGGUUGUAAAGCACUUUCAGUGGGGAAGAAAGCCUUGGGGCUAAUACCCUCGAGGAAGGACAUCACCCACAGAAGAAGCACCGGCUAACUCCGUGCCAGCAGCCGCGGUAAUACGGAGGGUGCGAGCGUUAAUCGGAAUUACUGGGCGUAAAGCGCGCGUAGGCGGUCUGAUAAGCCGGUUGUGAAAGCCCCGGGCUCAACCUGGGAACGGCAUCCGGAACUGUCAGGCUAGAGUGCAGGAGAGGAAGGUAGAAUUCCCGGUGUAGCGGUGAAAUGCGUAGAGAUCGGGAGGAAUACCAGUGGCGAAGGCGGCCUUCUGGACUGACACUGACGCUGAGGUGCGAAAGCGUGGGUAGCAAACAGGAUUAGAUACCCUAUAGC